rnacentral:rRNA from 1 species
AGUGAACGCUGGCGGUAGGCCUAACACAUGCAAGUCGAACGGCAGCACAGUAAGAGCUUGCUCUUACGGGUGGCGAGUGGCGGACGGGUGAGGAAUACAUCGGAAUCUACUUUUUCGUGGGGGAUAACGUAGGGAAACUUACGCUAAUACCGCAUACGACCUACGGGUGAAAGCAGGGGAUCUUCGGACCUUGCGCGAUUGAAUGAGCCGAUGUCGGAUUAGCUAGUUGGCGGGGUAAAGGCCCACCAAGGCGACGAUCCGUAGCUGGUCUGAGAGGACGAUCAGCCACACUGGAACUGAGACACGGUCCAGACUCCUACGGGAGGCAGCAGUGGGGAAUAUUGGACAAUGGGCGCAAGCCUGAUCCAGCCAUACCGCGUGGGUGAAGAAGGCCUUCGGGUUGUAAAGCCCUUUUGUUGGGAAAGAAAAGCAGCAGGUUAAUACCCCGCUGUUCCGACGGUACCCAAAGAAUAAGCACCGGCUAACUUCGUG